UGACACCAUAGAAUGAGGAUGUUCACCCUCAGAGAAGAGAAAGAACGCUGGGCACAAAUAACUGCUUUGGAAGAGCCUGUGAACCUCCCAGCCUGUGGACAACAGACUCUGAAGAGGGAAGGAAGAGAACUAGAUAUUGAUGUGGGUCCUGGAGAGGAAAUCUCAGGAGAGGUUUUAAGACAGUGGCAUGCUGACAAGAACAGAAUCACGUGGGCAAGAUGCCUGAAAAACAUCUGCUGAAAAUUCAUCUGCUGAAUUAAUGAAGAAGCCACUACUAUCUUGGCAGCAAAGAUGGCCAAUGAGGAAACGGCAAUAACGAUCCGGGAAGGCAUCCAAAUUAUAAAAC